rnacentral:rRNA from 1 species
CGCCUGUUUAACAAAAACAUGGCCUCUUGUUUAUUUUUGAGGUCUGACCUGCCCAGUGAUCAUUUUAGACGGCCGCGGUAUAUUGACCGUGCAAAGGUAGCAUAAUCAUUAGUCUUUUAAUAGGGGGCUGGAAUGAAAGGUUUAACGAAUCAUUAAUUGUCUCAUUUUUAUAUCUUAAAAUUUAAUUUUUAAGUUAAAAAGCUUAAAUUUUAUUGAAGGACGAGAAGACCCUAUAGAGCUUUAUAUUAUUUUGUUUAUUAUAAUAUUGUUUUAUAUUUAAAGUAUUAAAUUAUUUGGUAUUUUGUUGGGGUGACAGAAAUAAAUAAUUAACUUUUUUGUUUUUUAAACAUUGAUGUAUGAAUUGUUGAUCCUUCAUUGUUGAUUAUUAGAUUAAGUUACCUUNUCNUAACAGCG